UAGAUUGAAGUUUAAUGAUUGAGCAUUUGGCCGUUAACCAAAGAGUAGUAGGAUUAAAACCUGCCAACCUAA
rnacentral:tRNA from 1 species